UUGGAGUACUCACUGCCGUCUCUUUUGCUAUCUUUAACAGAUGGAAUAAAAGGCGGUAAUCCAGAUCUGUUUUCCUGAACUCACCACAUCAAAGACACAACGUAGAGCUUGAGGCUGGACCUGUCACACAUGCUGAGGUUCUCUCUGGGUACUCUGACUUCCUCCCAAAGAUCAAAAAUAUGACUAUUUUGCUGAUUUGGCAUUUCCCUGUUUGUCUUCCCUGUUCUCUCACCCUCCACACUGCUGCCUCCCAGCCAGUCAAGGGAAAUGCAGCUGUCUGUCUUAAUUCUUGUACUGCUAGAGGUCUCUUUCUAUAAAGAGGGAGUUCUCUGCUUCACUGUCACGCACCACAUUGUGCAUGCACAGGGUGGGGAAAUGAAUUAAAUAUUCAAUGCAAU